rnacentral:rRNA from 1 species
GAACUUAAGCAUAUCAAUAAGCGGAGGAAAAGAAACUAACAAGGAUUCCCCUAGUAACUGCGAGUGAAGCGGGAAAAGCUCAAAUUUAAAAUCUGGCGUGCCUCUGGUCGUCCGAGUUGUAGUUUAGAGAAGCGUUUUCUGUGUUGGACCGUGUAUAAGUCUCUUGGAACAGGGCGUCAUAGAGGGUGAGAAUCCCGUCUUUGACACGGACUACCAAUGCUUUGUGAUACGCUCUCAAAGAGUCGAGUUGUUUGGGAAUGCAGCUCAAAAUGGGUGGUAAAUUCCAUCUAAAGCUAAAUAUAGGCGAGAGACCGAUAGCGAACAAGUACCGUGAGGGAAAGAUGAAAAGCACUUUGGAAAGAGAGUUAAACAGUACGUGAAAUUGCUGAAAGGGAAACGCUUGAAGUCAGUCACGUCUGCCAGGACUCAGCCUUGCUUCUGCUUGGUGUACUUUCUGGUUGGAUGGGCCAACAUCGAUUUCGACCGUUGGAGAAAGGCUUUGGGAAUGUGGCACCUUCGGGUGUGUUAUAGCCCUUUGUCGUAUACAAUGGUUGGGAUCGAGGACUGCAGCAUGCCUUCAUGGCCGGGGUUCGCCCACGUACAUGCUUAGGAUGUUGGCAUAAUGGCUUUAAGCGACCCGUCUUGAAACACGGACCAAGGAGUCUAACAUGCCUGCGAGUGUUUGGGUGGAAAACCCAUGGGCGUAAUGAAAGUGAUAGCUGAGAUCCUCUCAUCAGGAGCAUCAGCGCCUGGACUUGAUCUACGGAGACGGUUCUACGGUAGAGCAUGUAUGUUGGGACCCGAAA